UAUUAUUCAAUAUGUAAAUUAAUUACCUGAGUAGUAGUAGUUAUAUUCUUGAAACUCAAAGAAUUUGGCGGUAUUUUAGUCUUUUUAGAGGAAUCUGUUCUGUAAUUGAUAAUACACGAUUAGUUUUACUUUAUUUUAUGAUUUGUAUAUCACCGUCGUAAGAAUAUCUUGUUGAGGGAUUAAAAAUUUCUUAAUAUAAAAAUUUUAUAAAAUGUCAGGUCAUGGUGCAGUUAAUAAUAAAGAAGUAAUGGAUUACAAUAAUUUUAGUUAAUAUGAAUAAAUAAUUUAAAUGUUAUUUUGAAGGUGGAUUUAAUUGUAAAUGUAUAUUUAAUUGAUAUUUUGAUUUUAGCUCUAAAAUGUGUACACAUUGCCCGUCGCUCUCAUAUAAAGUGAG
rnacentral:rRNA from 1 species